UACGAAGGGGGCUAGCGUUGUUCGGAAUUACUGGGCGUAAAGCGCACGUAGGCGGUUAUUUAAGUGAGGGGUGAAAUCCCAGGGCUCAACCCUGGAACUGCCUCUCAUACUGGGUAUCUCGAGUUCGAGAGAGGUGAGUGGAAUUGCGAGUGUAGAGGUGAAAUUCGUAGAUAUUCGGAAGAACACCAGUGGCGAAGGCGGCUCACUGGACGACUGUUGACGCUGAGGUGCGAAAGCGUGGGGAGCAAACAGG
rnacentral:rRNA from 1 species